UACGUAGGGUGCAAGCGUUGUCCGGAAUUAUUGGGCGUAAAGGGCUCGUAGGCGGUCCAUCACGUCGGGAGUGAAAAGCUGGGGCUUAACCCCAGAACUGCUUCCGAUACGGGCAGACUAGAGGUAGGUAGGGGAGAAUGGAAUUCCUGGUGUAGCGGUGGAAUGCGCAGAUAUCAGGAGGAACACCAGUGGCGAAGGCGGUUCUCUGGGCCUUACCUGACGCUGAGGAGCGAAAGCGUGGGGAGCAAACAGG
rnacentral:rRNA from 1 species